AAGAAUUAAAUGGAUGAAAUAUGAAAUUUUAUUAAAAGAAAAAGGGGUGAAAAGAACAAAGUUUUGUCCAUCUUUGUUCAUCAUAGCCGAAAGUUAGAGAAGAGAAAGGAGAGGAGAAAGCUCUUGAAUGUUCGGUCACUUGGGGAAGAAAAUUGAAGGUAAACCCCAACCAUAGUGGGCUUGGAGCUGUGAGGGAAUUCAGAGUGACCACACGUUCUGCAAAUUCCUGUUUUCUUCCGGUGAAUUGGACAUCUUUUCUUUUAUUUUUAUGAUUUGGGUUUCAAGUUGUAAUAAGGCCACUUAAUUAUUUUUGAUGGUUUUAAUAUGUAUUACUAAGAUAGGUAUUACUUAUUUUAACUGUUGAAAUUGGAUAGCUUUAGGGCGCGUUUUCAAAAACAACAAUUAAUUUCAAAAUAACACGACAACAAGCAAAGCUUCCGCAAUGAAA